UACGAAGGGGGCGAGCGUUGUUCGGAAUUACUGGGCGUAAAGGGCGCGUAGGCGGUGUGUCAAGUCAGGCGUGAAAGCCCCGGGCUCAACCUGGGAACCGCGCUUGAGACUGGCACGCUCGAGUCCGGGAGAGGAUGGUGGAAUUCCCAGUGUAGAGGUGAAAUUCGUAGAUAUUCGGAAGAACACCAGUGGCGAAGGCGACUCGCUGGACAAGUAUUGACGCUGAGGUGCGAAAGCGUGGGGAGCAAACAGG
rnacentral:rRNA from 1 species